UACGUAGGUUGCGAGCGUUAUUCGGAUUUACUGGGCGUAAAGAGCACCGAGGUGGCUUCUUAAGUUGGAUGUGAAAUCUCCUGGCUUAACUGGGAGGCGCCAUUCAAAACUGAGGAGCUUGAGGUCAGCAGGGGAAGGUGGAAUUCCCGGUGUAGUGGUGGAAUGCGUAGAGAUCGGGAGGAACACCAGUGGCGAAAGCGACCUUCUGGGCUGCAUCUGACACUCUAGUGCGAAAGCGUGGGGAGCAAACAGG
rnacentral:rRNA from 1 species